rnacentral:rRNA from 1 species
CCUACGGGAGGCAGCAGUGAGGAAUAUUGGUCAAUGGACGAGAGUCUGAACCAGCCAAGUAGCGUGAGGGAGGACUGCCCUAUGGGUUGUAAACUUCUUUUAUAAAGGAAUAAAACGAGGCACGUGUGCCUGUUUGCAUGUACUUUAUGAAUAAGGAUCGGCUAACUCCGUGCCAGCAGCCGCGGUAAUACGGAGGAUCCGAGCGUUAUCCGGAUUUAUUGGGUUUAAAGGGUGCGUAGGUGGGUUGUUAAGUCAGUUGUGAAAGUUUGCGGCUCAACCGUAAAAUUGCAAUUGAUACUGGCAGUCUUGAGUACAGUAGAGGUAAGCGGAAUUCGCGGUGUAGCGGUGAAAUGCUUAGAUAUCACGAAGAACCCCGAUUGCGAAGGCAGCUUACUAACCUGUGACUGACAUUGAUGCACGAAAGUGUGGGUAUCAAACAGGAUUAGAUACCCGGGUAGUC